UCGAGAAUCUUCGGCAAUGGGCGCAAGCCUGACCGAGCGACGCCGCGUGCGGGAUGAAGGCCUUCGGGUUGUAAACCGCUGUCGUAGGGGAGGAAGGCUCCGUGCAGAACGGAGUUUGACCGAUCCUAGGAGGAAGGGCCGGCUAAUCUCGUGCCAGCAGCCGCGGUAAUACGAGAGGCCCAAACGUUAUUCGGAAUUACUGGGCUUAAAGAGUUCGUAGGCGGCGCAGAAAGUAGGGUGUGAAAGCCCUCGGCUUAACCGAGGAAUUGCGCUCUAAACUACUGUGCUUGAGGAACCUAGAGGUGAGCAGAACUGAUGGUGGAGCGGUGAAAUGCGUUGAUAUCAUCAGGAAUACCGGAGGCGAAGGCGGCUCACUGGGGGUUUUCUGACGCUGAGGAACGAAAGCCAGGGGAGCGAACG
rnacentral:rRNA from 1 species